GCGCGAAAACUUUACAAUGCGGGAAACCGUGAUAAGGGAACCCCGAGUGCCCGUAAAUUCGGGCUGUUCACCUGUUUAAAAARCAGGUGRAGAAAGGGCCGGGCAAGACCGGUGCCAGCCGCCGCGGUAAUACCGGCGGCUCGAGUGGUGGCCACUAUUACUGGGCUUAAAGCGUCCGUAGCUGGAUUGUUAAGUCUCUUGGGAAAUCUACCGGCUUAACCGAUAGGCGUUCAAGGGAUACUGGCAAUCUAGGGACCGGGAGAGGUGAGAGGUACUCCAGGNGUAGGA
rnacentral:rRNA from 1 species